rnacentral:rRNA from 1 species
AUUGAACGCUGGCGGCAUGCUUUACACAUGCAAGUCGAACGGUAACAGGCCGCUAGGUGCUGACGAGUGGCGAACGGGUGAGUAAUGCAUCGGAACGUGCCCAGUCGUGGGGGAUAACUACUCGAAAGAGUAGCUAAUACCGCAUACGAUCUAUGGAUGAAAGCGGGGGACCGUAAGGCCUCGCGCGAUUUGAGCGGCCGAUGUCAGAUUAGUUAGUUGGUGGGGUAAAGGCUCACCAAGCCAACGAUCUGUAGCUGGUCUGAGAGGACAACCAGCCACACUGGGACUGAGACACGGCCCAGACUCCUACGGGAGGCAGCAGUGGGGAAUUUUGGACAAUGGGCGCAAGCCUGAUCCAGCAAUGCCGCGUGCAGGAAGAAGGCCUUCGGGUUGUAAACUGCUUUUGUACGGAACGAAACGGCUCUGGUUAAUACCCGGGGCUAAUGACGGUACCGUAAGAAUAAGCACCGGCUAACUACGUG